rnacentral:miRNA from 1 species
CGUCGGACCAGGCUUCAUUCCC